rnacentral:rRNA from 1 species
UGGGGAAUUUUGCACAAUGGGGGAAACCCUGAUGCAGCGACGCCGCGUGAUUUAGAAGGCCUUCGGGUUGUAAAAAUCUUUUCUAUGGGAAGAAAAUGACAGUACCAUAGGAAUAAGGACCGGCUAAUUACGUGCCAGCAGCCGCGGUAAUACGUAAGGUCCGAGCGUUGUCCGGAAUCAUUGGGCGUAAAGGGUACGUAGGCGGGUAAGCAAGUUAGAAGUGAAAUCCUAUAGCUCAACUAUAGUAAGCUUUUAAAACUGCUCAGCUUGAGCUAUGGAAGGGAAAGUGGAAUUCCUAGUUUAGCGGUGAAAUGCGCAGAUAAUAGGAGGAAUACCGGUGGCGAAGGCGACUUUCUGGCCAUAACCUGACGAUGAGGUACGAAAGCGUAGGUAGCAAACAGG